AAAUAAUAGUAUCAGCAUUAUGUUUGAAAUAAUGAUAAGAUAAACAGAUAAUAAUUAACUGUUUUAAAAUAUAUCAAAAAUAUGUUAAAUCUCUUGACAGGUAGGUAUAAAAGAGUGUGGAGGCAGCGUCAUAGACUAGUAUCUACCUACUAUCAUCAUGUAUUUUAAACUUAUAUUGGCUUCUACUGCUCUCAUGUGUGUAGGUGUUGUCUCAGGUUCUGCUACCCUUGAUUGCCAUUAUUGCUAUGCAACAACUGAGGAGUCCCCUAAAGCAUAUGAGAAGUGUCUUGGCUAUCAACACCAUGGUGGGGAAGUUAGGAAUUGUGGUGGAAGUUGCAGAAUUAUGGUUGGAAGUUAUACAAAAAACAACAAGACCGAAUACUCAGUGGAGAGAAAUUGUGGUUGGCUUACUUGUUACAUGUUAAAGACUUACCACGGCAUAGACAAAUACUGUGAAACAUGCAUGACUGAUUAUUGCAAUGCUCACAAACCAUAUCUUGGUCCAAGUUUCAAGCGUCUAUAAGGAAUGUGAACAUUUUUCUGUAUACUACUACUAUGCGAUUAAAAUUGAGUUGCUGUUGGGUCACCUUUGGAAUUUUUGUUUACAUGGGAAAUCGUACUUAACUUGAACUUCCAAAGGCGACUCGAAAGCAACUCAUUUUUGAUAGCCUGUUUAUCACUAAUUAUGUUAUUGUUCUCUAUUAUAUUUUUGUUCCUUUUUCUUUAAUAUUAUCCUCUAAACUACAAAAUGAAAUAAUUAUGUUAUAAUAUACAGUUUAAUACGAAUCUUAGUUUAAAAUGAA